GACGAACGCUGGCGGCGUGGAUUAGGCAUGCAAGUCGAACGGUAUCAUCCUUUCGGGGGUGAGAGAGUGGCGAACUGGUGAGUAACACGUAGGUUAUCUACCCUCAAGACGGGGACAACCCAGGGAAACUUGGGCUAAUACCGGAUGUGAGCAACUUUUAGUUGUUUGAAAGGUGGCGUAAGCUGUCGCUUGGGGAUGAGCCUGCGUCCUAUUAGUUAGUUGGUGAGGUAACGGCUCACCUAGGCAAUGAUAGGUAGGCGGCCUUAACGGGUGGUCGCCCACACUGGGAUUGAGAUACGGCCCAGACUCCUACGGGAGGCAGCAGUCGAGAAUAGUCUACAAUGGUCGGAAGACUGAUAGUGCGACGCCGCGUGAACAAUGAAUCCCUUCGGGGUGUAAAGUUCUUUUAUAUGUGAGCAGUGCUUCUUAUAUUAACAGUAUGGGGAGAGAGAUAUUAGCAUAUGAAUAAGCAACGGCUAACUCCGUGCCAGCAGCCGCGGU
rnacentral:rRNA from 1 species